rnacentral:rRNA from 1 species
UACGGAGGGGGCGAGCGUUAUUCGGAAUUAUUGGGCGUAAAGGGCGCGUAGGCGGCCCGGUAAGUCAAAGGUGAAAUCCCUCGGCUCAACUGAGGAACUGCCUUUGAAACUGUCGGGCUUGAGGCCGGGAGGGGGUAGCGGAAUUCCCAGUGUAGCGGUGAAAUGCGUAGAUAGUUGGGAGGAACACCAGUGGCGAAGGCGGCUACCUGGACCGGUUCGUGGACGCUGAGGCGCGGAAAGCGUCGGGUAGCAAACAGGG